UUACAUGAUGAAGCGGCACUGGGCUCCGAGAGUACCCAUAAGGGACUCAGCCAUGAGCAGACAAGCCACUUUGCGGCAGGCCUAGAAAACCUCGCCCACUGAUU
rfam:Colletotrichum orchidophilum strain IMI 309357 Scaffold_103.1, whole genome shotgun sequence.